AGUGAACGCUGGCGGUAGGCCUAACACAUGCAAGUCGAACGGCAGCACAGUAAGAGCUUGCUCUUACGGGUGGCGAGUGGCGGACGGGUGAGGAAUACAUCGGAAUCUACUUUUUCGUGGGGGAUAACGUAGGGAAACUUACGCUAAUACCGCAUACGACCUACGGGUGAAAGCAGGGGAUCUUCGGACCUUGCGCGAUUGAAUGAGCCGAUGUCGGAUUAGCUAGUUGGCGGGGUAAAGGCCCACCAAGGCGACGAUCCGUAGCUGGUCUGAGAGGAUGAACAGCCACAAUGGAAAUGAGACACGGUCCAGACUCCUAAGGGAGGCAGGAGUGGGGAAUAUUGGACAAUGGGCGCAAGCCUGAUCCAGCCAUACCGCGUGGGUGAAGAAGGCCUUCGGGUUGUAAAGCCCUUUUGUUGGGAAAGAAAAGCAGCAGGUUAAUACCCCGCUGUUCUGACGGUACCCAAAGAAUAAGCACCGGCUAACUUCGUG
rnacentral:rRNA from 1 species